rnacentral:rRNA from 1 species
CGAUUGAACGCUGGCGGUAUGCUUUACACAUGCAAGUCGAACGGUAACAGGUCUUCGGAUGCUGACGAGUGGCGAACGGGUGAGUAAUGUAUCGGAACGUGCCUAGUAAUGGGGGAGUAACCACUCGAAAGAGUGACUAAUACCGCAUAAUAUCUCAGGAUGAAAGCGGGGGACCGUAAGGCCUCGCGUUAUUAGAGCGGCCGAUAUCAGAUUAGGUAGUUGGUGGGAUAAAAGCCUACCAAGCCAACGAUCUGUAGCUGGUCUGAGAGGACGACCAGCCACACUGGGACUGAGACACGGCCCAGACUCCUACGGGAGGCAGCAGUGGGGAAUUUUGGACAAUGGGCGAAAGCCUGAUCCAGCCAUGCCGCGUGCAGGAUGAAGGCCUUCGGGUUGUAAACUGCUUUUGUACGGAACGAAAAGGUCUUUUCUAAUAAAGAAGGCUGAUGACGGUACCGUAAGAAUAAGCACCGGCUAACUACGUG